rnacentral:rRNA from 1 species
UGGGGAAUUUUGGACAAUGGGCGAAAGCCUGAUCCAGCAAUGCCGCGUGUGUGAAGAAGGCCUUCGGGUUGUAAAGCACUUUUGUCCGGAAAGAAAUCCUUGGCUCUAAUACAGUCGGGGGAUGACGGUACCGGAAGAAUAAGCACCGGCUAACUACGUGCCAGCAGCCGCGGUAAUACGUAGGGUGCAAGCGUUAAUCGGAAUUACUGGGCGUAAAGCGUGCGCAGGCGGUUUGCUAAGACCGAUGUGAAAUCCCCGGGCUCAACUGGGAACUGCAUUGGUGACUGGCAGGCUAGAGUAUGGCAGAGGGGGGUAGAAUUCCACGUGUAGCAGUGAAAUGCGUAGAGAUGUGGAGGAAUACCGAUGGCGAAGGCAGCCCCCUGGGCCAAUACUGACGCUCAUGCACGAAAGCGUGGGGAGCAAAACAGGAUUAGAUACCCCUGGGUAGUCCACGCCCUAAACGAUGUCAACUAGUUGUUGGGGAUUCAUUUCCUUAGUAACGUAGCUAACGCGUGAAGUUGACCGCCUGGGGGAGUACGGUCGCAAGAUUAAAACUUAAAUGAAUUGACGGGGUCAUAGCUG